rnacentral:rRNA from 1 species
ACGCUGGCGGCGUGCUUAACACAUGCAAGUCGAGCGGUAAGGCCCUUCGGGGUACACGAGCGGCGAACGGGUGAGUAACACGUGGGUGAUCUGCCUCGCACUCUGGGAUAAGCCUGGGAAACUGGGUCUAAUACCGGAUAUGACCUUACAUCGCAUGGUGUUUGGUGGAAAGAUUUAUCGGUGCGAGAUGGGCCCGCGGCCUAUCAGCUUGUUGGUGGGGUAAUGGCCUACCAAGGCGACGACGGGUAGCCGGCCUGAGAGGGCGACCGGCCACACUGGGACUGAGACACGGCCCAGACUCCUACGGGAGGCAGCAGUGGGGAAUAUUGCACAAUGGGCGAAAGCCUGAUGCAGCGACGCCGCGUGAGGGAUGACGGCCUUCGGGUUGUAAACCUCUUUCGACAGGGACGAAGCGCAAGUGACGGUACCUGUAGAAGAAGCACCGGCCAACUACGUGCCAGCAGCC